ACUAUACCCUCGAUGUUCCCAAAUUUUUCCAGAUACGUGUGGUUAUUACUAUACAGGACAGUGUAGGGCCUACAGUGUGUAUAUACAGUGAUAUUUGGGCGGGGCAGUGCUGGGUUAACAUCGAGGCAGUGGCGUGAAUAUCAAACUCUUUGGUGAUUUGAGACUUUGUGAAGAGGGUUGAUUGCUCCAGUUUACGGUCAACUAGAAGAAGGACCGUAUACCAGAGGACACAGGUAAGGUAUCUUAUGCAUAGGAAUUGACAGUUACUAAGCAACAGACAUGGGUUUAGGGGAAGGUCAAGGAGAAGGUCAAGGUGAAGGCAAAGGAAAGGGAGGUUUAUGUCCCGGAAUACUGUGGGGAAUUCUAUGGUUUCUCAUCCUGUGGUUCCUGGGAUGGCCCAUAGCGUUUUUUAUAGCUUGGUUGUAUAUACUCCUGUUGCCGUUCUCAGCCUGUAUCGAGCCACUGAAGGGAGUUUGUGAAGCAUUGCUCAAAGUUGUCAACCUGCCGCUGACAUGUGCAGAGAACAUGAUCGCUAUGAAGCCGCUGUGUGGUGGAUAAAUUAGACUAGGACAUUUAGAUUUAGUGACAAUGUCUACUGUUAAAUGUUAAUAUUGAAUUUAGAAAGAAUCCAAAAACUCAUAACGUUUGCAUAUGGUCAAAAAUCUCCAUUCAAUAUAUAAUACAUACAAGAAUGAUGUCAAUAUCAAGAAAGAAAGUAACUCAACAACACAGCAUCAAUUCUUACAGCCACAUGCUGUUGUCUAUUUUGUAUAAUGAAAUUUAGUUUCAAAGUCGAAGAUUUCAUUAAGAUGAAAAUUACUUAUUAAUUAUGUACAGUAAACACUGUAGUCCACGUAAAAUAUACUGGAAUCCUGUUUCACAGAGUUGAAGAAAAGCUUGAAGGAAUUUUCUUAACUUAAAGGAACAAUUGAGAGACAGGGGCCAGAACUUUGCUAUGAUGUAUUACCCUGGUACUCUCCGUUACGUACAUUUCUCAUCACAAAGUAUUCAGCUAACUCCAGUGACUGCGGACCUACAAUAUUUUUCCCGUGUGAGGUUUAAGUCACAUUUGAACCUUACCAAAUCAAAGACAUGGCAAGUCCAGUUUAAAUAUGUAGGGGUGAAUGAGUUAAAACGCUGCGCAUUUCCGAGGUGCAAUGUACAAGUCACUGCACGUCAAGCUGAUGACUAAACUGCUCAAAUGUUUAAGGAUGUAUAGUGUGGUUAGUCAACAACGACAAGUACAUCCUGAACGACCGCGGAACACCAGAUUAUAACAGGAUCACCGAGAUACUGGCUGCAGUCUUUACUCACAGGACUAAACAACCCUAAUACACAAUACUUUAAAACCACAGCAAAAUAAAUUUUAGGAUAUACAUAUUGUGUAUGUAAGUCAAGAAUGUCGACUUUACAAAAAACACGACUCCAUUACAUAUCUCUGUAAUAUCAUACAAUGUACCAGUAAAAGACUGACCUUAAUUAUUCGUAACUAGUUUUUGAAUAUGUGUGCCAAGUCACCUAAUUUCUUACAGAGAAUGUAUUACGGAAGUCACAUUGACACAUCUACCACUAAAGUGCUUUAUUAAUUAGUGAUAUUAUUUUAGGAAAUAAAUAAUUUAUGAUAAGAA